rnacentral:rRNA from 1 species
UACGUAGGGGGCAAGCGUUAUCCGGAUUUACUGGGUGUAAAGGGAGCGUAGACGGCAGUGCAAGUCUGGAGUGAAAGGCGGGGGCUCAACCCCCGGACUGCUCUGGAAACUGUACGGCUGGAGUGCAGGAGAGGUAAGUGGAAUUCCUAGUGUAGCGGUGAAAUGCGUAGAUAUUAGGAGGAACACCAGAGGCGAAGGCGGCUUACUGGACUGUAACUGACGUUGAGGCUCGAAAGCGUGGGGAGCAAACAGG